AUCUGCUGACACCUGAUGAACCUGUUGACUGCCUCCAGACAGACACAGUUCCAAGCAUUCAUAAGCAGAACAUAUGACCGAUCUUGGUGUCCAUCUAAGGCUACAUCUUAUUGUAACAUGUCUGAAAGGAAAUGAGAAUACACAGGGAACAUGGGAACAUUUAUAUUAUAUAAUUCAUAUAUUUUGUUUAGAUGUUUUACUGAGGUCUAUCUAGUGUUUUAUGUUGAAUCAGUGAUGCAAUUAUUUGCCUUACUGUUUUACUGUGCGAGUUUCAGCUACAGCCAAACAUCUUUGUGUCGAACUUGGAUGUGUCGAACAACGGUUGUCACGAAGUCAAAGUUUGGAUUUUACGUACUGUGUUCAUGAGUGAGUGAGUGAGUUUACACCCACGACUUGAUAGAACCAGGGAGAGUCUGAUACAAGCGACGUUAACCCGAAUCCACACCCCUCUAUAACGUUGAUUAAUUAGGUAUGAUAACUAAAUACCUGCUGUUAAAGGUUAGCUUGGUCAGGGAAGUGUACUGAUAUUUGAAAUUCUGAAUGAAUGAGGAAUAAACAUUUUGAAUAUUCCAGAAUCCAACGAAUAGAAGACUUAACCAUAUUGGCAUCGAACACGAGUUCUUAUUAUUUAGUGAGUGAGUGAGUGAGUGAGUGAGUUUAGGUUUACGCCGCACUCUGCAAUAUACCAGCUAU